rnacentral:rRNA from 1 species
AGCGAACGCUGGCGGCAGGCUUAACACAUGCAAGUCGAGCGGACCUUUCGGGGUCAGCGGCGGACGGGUGAGUAACGCGUGGGAACGUGCCUUCCGGUUCGGAAUAACCCUGGGAAACUAGGGCUAAUACCGGAUACGCCCUUAUGGGGAAAGGUUUACUGCCGGAAGAUCGGCCCGCGUCUGAUUAGCUAGUUGGUGGGGUAACGGCCUACCAAGGCGACGAUCAGUAGCUGGUCUGAGAGGAUGAUCAGCCACACUGGGACUGUGACACGGCCCAGACUCCUACGGGAGGCGGCAGUGGGGAAUAUUGGACAAUGGGCGCAAGCCUGAUCCAGCCAUGCCGCGUGAGUGAUGAAGGCCUUAGGGUUGUAAAGCUCUUUUAUCCGGGACGAUAAUGACGGUACCGGAGGAAUAAGCCCCGGCUAACUUCGCG